rnacentral:rRNA from 1 species
UACGAAGGGGGCUAGCGUUGCUCGGAAUUACUGGGCGUAAAGGGUGCGUAGGCGGACAUUUAAGUCAGGGGUGAAAUCCCGGGGCUCAACCUCGGAAUUGCCUUUGAUACUGGGUGUCUUGAGUAUGAGAGAGGUAUGUGGAACUCCGAGUGUAGAGGUGAAAUUCGUAGAUAUUCGGAAGAACACCAGUGGCGAAGGCGACAUACUGGCUCAUUACUGACGCUGAGGCUCGAAAGCGUGGGGAGCAAACAGG